UACUAGCUGUAGGAAUUUUAUCAAGCUCAAGUGAAUUUCACACUAAACUAGGUGAAACUUUGUCUACAUAGAGCAAAUGAUACAUGAAAGACCAUGAUGUGGUUAUAGGACUUAUAGAAAGUGAAGAAGCAACAUAAAUACAAAAGUAGCUGAAAAGAAGUAGUUUGCAUUAUGGAAUUUUCAGAGCAACCCUGUACAAUUCAUUGUAAUAAUUAGUAACAACAGCAUCAAACAUUAUAAUCUACAAAUCACAAGGGAUGGACUUCACAUUUUAGAGAAGCUAGAGUGAGUCUUGAACAGAAAAAUCAAGUGAUAGCAGAACUGAAGAAAAACUUGAACUUUCUAUGCUUAAAUUUCAAAACUUGAAUGUUAUCCUUUUAUUUAUGAGCUAUGAAUAAAAAUAAGACCUCUGGUCUGGAAUUCAAAAGAGAAAAAGAAUUAGCCAUUGGAUUUUUAUUUUCUGAUUCUGGGAAAAUAUUGCAGAAUGCAGAUUGUUCAAAAAUAUUAUAUUCCAAAUAACUUUUUUUUUGGUGUAAGAAUUAAAUAAAUAAAAGAGAACACCAUAGUCUGGCUUUGAAGAUAAACUUGAAUCUGAACCAACCAUCAACAAAUGCUGUUAUUUGAAGUCUAUGAGCACAGCAUAUAAAAUUAUUAACCUGUGUUACGAGAAUGUUUAUAGCUUCUUGUUCACUAGCUCUGAAAUCUGACAAUGUAUGGUCCAACAACUGGAAACAGAUAAUUUGUUAAAGUGUUAAAGUGUCAGUUUAGUAUCUCAGUCAACAAUAAUAUCAAGACCCCCUUAAGAUGACUUCUCAGAUGCAAACAGGCACCUGGACUCAAGUUUGCCUUGUCCCCAGUUUGCUAUUUUCUCAGCAAAAGCAGGAGGUCAGCUCCUGUUGGCAAAACAUGAUAGGGAAAAAAGGCAGAAAUUCCUAUGCUAUUGCUCCUUCUUUUUUAACUCCUGUGGUCCCUUUGCUGUCAGGAAUGCUAUUUCCUGAGACAGGUGGAUUGACAUAGGGCAGAUUUAAGGCCUGCAGGUUUCAACUGUGCUUCUGAGAUAUUGUUUCCUUAUUUUAUCUUUGAAUGGCCUUGAGCUGAGAACAGAAGUUGCAUGUAUUUUGUGAACAGAUAAGAAAAGGAUAUGCCAUCCCACUAUAUCAGUUACAAUAUAAAAAAGAAAAGAAAAUAAAAGAAAAAAUAUAAUAAGAAAAAAAGAAAAUAAAAGAAAAAAUAUAAUAAGAAAAAAUUUAGUUGCAAUAUGAAAAAAUAAAGAAGAAAAAAGAAAUUUAAAAAUAAAUCAAUACUCUCUAGAAAGUCUAUACUGAUUUUUUUCUGUCUCUAAAACACAAUAUUAUAUGACUGUAGUAUAAAAUUUCAGGGAAACUUCAGAUAUGCUUCAAAACAUAUUUCAAGCAAUAACAAAAACUGCAGUUAAGCACACCAUCACCAUAUGAUAACUGCUUGAGAUCAUGGGAUUUGUCAAGGAAUUUAGCUUGUUAUCUAUAAAAGUACCUUUCUAUAGGUUAUUAAUGCCCUUCAGAAAGACUUAAAUAUGUUGUCACAGUCUAGGAAAUAUAUGUAGAAUAUAAUAAAUGAAUGUAAUAUAUUAGAAUCAUGGAAUCAUUAAGGUUGGAAAAUACCUCCUAGGAUAAUCAAGUCCAGUCACCAACCCAGCACUAUCACCUCAUGCUCUCAGGUGCCAUAAACACAUUUGCUGAUCUCUUCUAGAGGUGCUGAUUCCACUACUUCCCUUAGCAGUCUGUUCCCGUGCUUCACAACUCUUUCCAUGAAAUAAUUUCUCUUAAUGUCUAAUCUAAACCUCCCCUGCUGCAAAUUGGGACCAUUUCCUCAUGUUCUGUCUCUUGUUACCUGGAAGAAGAGUCUGACCCCAACUCCCCCUCCUCCCCGGUCUGGCUCUAACCUUCUUUCAGGUGGCUGUAGAGAGCAAUAAGGUCUCCCCUGAGCCUGUUUUUUUUUCUGACUAAACAACCCCAGCAACUCCUCCUGAGGACAAACUAAAGUUACUGCAGAAGUGGAUGAUACUGGUCAGUAUGCAGAAACCAUGGAAAUUGCAUGGUUUCAUUGCUGGAAAACAUUUUCAGGAAAUCUGGGGAAAUCAUAUUAACCAAGGGAAGCAUGAGAAGAGAUGGACCUGUACUAGGGUAAAAUAUAUCAACCUGAUAAGUGUUCAGCUGGAGAGAUCUACUAGAGCUGUGAUAUGUGUUUAAUUUUAUGCAGAGUGAGUACUUCCUGGAAAGACAAACCAAGACAGUGCAUAUGUCUUUGUGAGACAGAAUCCUGAAUUUAAAGUAUCACAGAGUUAGAACUUCGAAAGCAUCACCACCCAUCAGAUGUCAGUAAAAUACUCAUCAGCAUCUUCUUGAUUUUCUUGAAAUAUGUUCACUGCUCUAGACAGGCACUAAUGAUGGCAAUGGGUAGAAAUAAAUAAAUCUGACAGAGAAAUAUGAUCAUGAAAAUGGCCUGUCAAAAUGGUGUAGAUUGUGAUAAUCACUUUCACUUGAGAGCACUGUCAGUUAAUAGAUCUGUCUCUAUGUAUCUACGUGACCCUAAUUGUUUUACUUUCUUGAGAAAGUGUCUGAAAAAAUGUUUGGAAAAUAGCUGAUGCACAGAUGUAUCUUUAGAGAGCAGUGAAGGACAAGUGAGUUUCAUGUCUGAAUAGUUUAGGUUAUUGCUAGAGGGUGAAAAUUUAGUUCAUACAAGCCAAUGAGGCUUUGCUGGCCUGGCUUUCCAACCAGCUAUUCACAGGUGGCGUGCUAUUGUAACUGCACUCAAAAUAGCACUGGCUUUUUUUAAAACCAUAAUGAUAAUUGAAAGUUUGGCAGUCAAAUACUUCAGAUAAUUCCACUUUCAGCUUGCUUGGUGGAGCUAGUUAAGGGAAGUACAAUACACUAAAUGUCUGGCAACUGCACAGGAGCAGCUUUUGUGGCUGAGGGUAGGCAUUAAAAAGGAAAGCUAUACGUAGCAUGAGCAUGUAUCAUUUAGAAUAUCACUCUUCUUGCUGUGUAGGACAGUGACAUCUGAGAUGAGCUGGGGUGCCUUUGCUAGCAGAAUAUCACUAGUAACAUUUCUUAACAUGGAUCCAUGGUGCUGCUGAGGAAGUACAACACACUUCUAAGAAUCUCUCUGACUUCUUUGGACGCUGUCUCAUGAAGCUAGCUGGUGAGAGCUGCCAGCAGGAGACAUGUCAGAACUGUUAAGAAAAUAAGAAGAGAACUAAAGCUGAAGCUAAUAUGAAAUAAUUCAGUAGCUAGGCAGAUUUUUGCGAUUGCUCUGUUCUUCUCAUCCAUAUGUAAAUGUUAUGAAUGCCAGGCAGCAUUAACUGAGAAGUGACUUAGAACUGGAUGGAAGCCCAACUACCUGAUACCUCCAUGAAGUUAAGACAACAAAGUCGAACCAGGAGAAAAGUUUUUCACACAGAGGGUUCUGGGGCACUGGAACGGGCUCUCCAGGAAGGUGGUCACAACACCAGCCUGACAGACCUCAAUAAGUGUUUGGACAACUCUCUUGGGUACAUGGUGUGACUCUUGGGGAGUCCAGAGCAGAGCCAGGAGCUGGACUCAAUGAUUCUGAUGGGUGUCCUCCAUCUCAGCAUAUUCUACGAUUCUAUGAAACUCAGUCAGGAGAUAAAAUGCUCAACAGAAUGUUUCACAUUAGUUUCAUUGAUAAGGCUCUUUCUUUUAUACUACUUUUUGGAUAUACUGUUAGUGAUUUUUGAUGAACAGGUACACCAUAUAAACACAGAGAUUAUUGAUCAGGACUAGGAGUGC